rnacentral:rRNA from 1 species
GUGCAGCAGGCGAGAAUACUUUACAAUGUGCGAAAGCACGAUAAGGGAACUCUGAGUGCCUCCUAAGGAGGCUGUUCUGAUGUCUAAAAAGCAACAGAAGUAAGGGCUGGGUAAGACCGGUGCCAGCCGCCGCGGUAACACCGGCAGCCCAAGUGGUAGCCACGUUUAUUGGGUCUAAAGCGUUCGUAGCCGGCCAGGUAAGUUCCUUGGUAAAUUUAGCCGCUUAACGGUUAAGCUUUCAGGGAAUACUGCUUGGCUUGGGACUGGGAGAGGUCAGAGGUACUCCGGGGGUAGGGGUGAAAUCUAUUAAUCCCUGGGGGACCACCGGUAGCGAAGGCGUCUGACCAGACCAGGUCCGACGGUGAGGGACGAAGGCUAGGGGCGCGAACCGGAUUAGAUA